rnacentral:rRNA from 1 species
CCAUUAAGUCAGGGGUGAAAUGCUGCGGCUCAACCGUAGCACUGCCUUUGAUACUGGUGGUCUUGAGUUAUGGUGAAGUGGGCGGAAUAUGUAGUGUAGCGGUGAAAUGCAUAGAUAUUACAUAGAACACCGAUUGCGAAGGCAGCUCACUAACCAUAUACUGACGCUGAUGGACGAAAGCGUGGGGAGCGAACAGGAUUAGAUACCCUGGUAGUCCACGCCGUAAACGAUGGAUACUAGCUGUCCGGGGCCUUGAGUCCUGGGCGGCCAAGCGAAAGUGAUAAGUAUCCCACCUGGGGAGUACGUUCGCAAGAAUGAAACUCAAAGGAAUUGACGGGGGCCCGCACAAGCGGUGGAGCAUGUGGUUUAAUUCGAUGAUACGCGAGGAACCUUACCAGGGCUUAAAUGCAUAUUGACAGGGGUAGAGAUACCUUUUCCUUCGGGCAAUUUGCAAGGUGCUGCAUGGUUGUCGUCAGCUCGUGCCGUGAGGUGUCAGGUUAAGUCCUAUAACGAGCGCAACCCCUACCGUUAGUUGCCAUCAGGUCAUGCUGGGGACUCUAACGGGACUGCCGGUGCAAACCGUGAGGAAGGUGGGGACGACGUCAAAUCAUCACGGCCCUUACGUCCUGGGCCACACACGUGCUACAAUGGCCGGUACAGAGAGCAGCCACGCCGCAAGGCGGAGCGAAUCUAUAAAACCGGUCACAGUUCGGAUCGGGGUCUGCAACUCGACCCCGUGAAGCUGGAAUCGCUAGUAAUCGGAUAUCAGCCAUGAUCCGGUGAAUACGUUCCCGGGCCUUGUACACACCGCCCGUCAAGCCAUGGAAGCCGGGAGUGCCUGAA